UACGUAGGGUGCAGGCGUUAAUCGGAAUUACUGGGCGUAAAGCGUGCGUAGGCGGUUUGUUAAGACAGGUGUGAAAUCCCCGGGCUUAACCUGGGAACUGCGCUUGUUACUGGCAGACUGGAGUGUGGCAGAGGGGGGGUGGAAUUCCAGGUGUAGCAGUGAAAUGCGUAGAUAUCUGGAGGAACACCGAUGGGCGAAGGCAGCCCCCCUGGGCUAACACUGACGCUGAUGCACGAAAGCGUGGGGAGCAAACAGG
rnacentral:rRNA from 1 species